GUUUCGAUUUCCACCCUGGCCAAGCAUAUUUUUCAAGCUUGCCCUGUGUGGACAUUCUACGCCAACACAGAAAAAAAUCAUGAUUACUAUAUUACAUAGAUAUCGAAGGAACUAGAUUCUGUUGCGAAAUAUCACAUACUCGAACCGACCUGACCGGUAGCUCAGUUGGCAGAGCAUUUGGGCUAGUAUCCAAAGGUCGUAGGUUCGAUUCCCACCGUGGCCAGGCAUAUUUUUAAUGUCUACAUUAUAUACCUUGCGAAAUCGUAUUUUAAAACUGGAUACAAUAUUACCCCAUUACAAAGCACAUCCUAUAUAAAAGUCAUCUUCAUACCUUGGCUGAUGUUUGCAUGUUGUUCAAGCAUUUGAGAAUCAUUGGCAUUUUGUUGUACUUCCGUAGUCGAAGACUCAGUUGCCACCAGAAUCGAUUUGUUUGAAUUUCGUCGUCGUUUUGGCAGUACAUUUGCAGACGCUGAUUCCCUUAAAUACACAAGCAAAAUAAGCUGUAGAUUAGUUUCGUUUAUUCUUCAAAAAUAUAUUGAAAAUCAUAUUGUAAACCUACCUGCGGCGGAAUUCCAAUGACAACAGAUGUGCAGCAAAGUCAGUGUCACUCGAACACUCGUAUCCAGCCGUUGUUUUGGCCUCUUGCCACGUAUCAAAGAUCUUAGCACUUAAAUAUAUCCUUUUGUGAUCUUUCUCCCAUAACUUUCUGUAUUCUUUUCGGCUCGAAAACACCUUUUUUCGACCAGCAUUUUUCCUUGAACCUCCGUGCAUGGCGCCCUGGUCAGACGCCAUAUUGAAAUUCGAUACACUUGAAAAAGUUGGGUGAACUUUUUCAAGUUGAUCUAUGCGCAGAACGGAUG